rnacentral:rRNA from 1 species
CGGCAGUGGCGGGUGCUAUACAUGCAGUCGAGCGCAGGAAACCAGAUGACCCCUUCGGGGUGAUUCUGGCGGAAUGAGCGGCGGACGGGUGAGUAACACGUGGGCAACCUGCCUGUAAGACUGGGAUAACUCCGGGAAACCGGGGCUAAUACCGGAUAGUAUUUCCUUUCUCCUGAUCGGAAAUGGAAAGACGGUUUCGGCUGUCACUUACAGAUGGGCCCGCGGUGCAUUAGCUAGUUGGCGGGGUAACGGCCCACCAAGGCGACGAUGCAUAGCCGACCUGAGAGGGUGAUCGGCCACACUGGGACUGAGACACGGCCCAGACUCCUACGGGAGGCAGCAGUAGGGAAUCUUCCGCAAUGGACGAAAGUCUGACGGAGCAACGCCGCGUGAGCGAUGAAGGCCUUCGGGUCGUAAAGCUCUGUUGUCAGGGAAGAACAAGUACAAGAGUAACUGCUUGUACCUUGACGGUACCUGACCAGAAAGCCCCGGCUAACUACGUGCCAGCAGCCGCGGUAAUACGUAGGGGGCAAGCGUUGUCCGGAAUUAUUGGGCGUAAAGGGCGCGUAGGCGGUUUCUUAAGUCUGAUGUGAAAGCCCACAGCUUAACUGUGGAGGGUCAUUGGAAACUGGGGAACUUGAGUGCAGAAGAGGAGAGUGGAAUUCCACGUGUAGCGGUGAAAUGCGUAGAUAUGUGGAGGAACACCAGUGGCGAAGGCGACUCUCUGGUCUGUAACUGACGCUGAGGCGCGAAAGCGUGGGGAGCAAACAGGAUUAGAUACCCUGGUAGUCCACGCCGUAAACGAUGAGUGCUAGGUGUUAGGGGGUUUCCGCCCCUUAGUGCUGAAGUU